CGCAUCUGUGCAUGCAGCAUAUCAAUAAGCGGAGGAAAAGAAACUAACAAGGAUUCCCUCAGUAACGGCGAGUGAAGCGGGAAGAGCUCAAAUUUGAAAUCUUGAAAGGUCACCUUUCACGAAUUGUAGUUUAAAGAAGUGUUUUCUGUUACGAUCGUAAUAUAAGUUCUUUGGAAUAGGACAUCACAGAGGGUGAGAAUCCCGUCUAUGAUUGCGAUUUGUAGCUUUGUGAUACACUUUCAAAGAGUCGGGUUGUUUGGGAAUGCAGCCCAAAACGGGAGGUAAAUUUCUUCUAAGGCUAAAUAUUGGCGAGAGACCGAUAGCGAACAAGUACCGUGAGGGAAAGAUGAAAAGAACUUUGAAAAGAGAGUUAAACUAGUACGUGAAAUUGUCAAAAGGGAAGCGUUUAACACCAGUGUUGUUUUUUCUGAAAAUCAAUUAAAGAACUGUUUAUGCUAAGCUGUUUAGACUUUAUCAGCUAUCUGUUUAGUUUUGAGCUUUUCUUUAAUGCACUUUUCAGUUAACAAGUCAACAUCAAUUUCUUUUGCUGUAAAAAAGCUUGAGGAAGGUGGCUUGAGAUUCGUCUUAAGUGUUUAUAGCCUCUUGCCUAUGCAGUCGGAGAGAUUGAGGUCUGCAGCGUAGAUCCUUCGGGGCUAAAUGCAUUUGUGCUAAGUUAUAGCAUUUUAUAGACAACUUGUUGACUAUGAUUUGUCUUGUAGCUUACUCGCUUAUGUUAUUUUACCUACGCUUAGGAUGUUGAAGUCAUCGUAUCGCGC
rnacentral:rRNA from 1 species